CGGGUUAUUUUCACGACGGCCACUGUUUGGCCUAUUCCAAAAAGCGGAGGAAAAGAAACCAACAGGGAUUGCCUUAGUAGCGGCGAGUGAAGCGGCAAAAGCUCAAAUUUGAAAUCUGGCUCUUUCAGAGUCCGAGUUGUAAUUUGAAGAAGGUAUCUUUGGGUCUGGCUCUUGUCUAUGUUUCUUGGAACAGAACGUCACAGAGGGUGAGAAUCCCGUGCGAUGAGAUGAUCCAGGCCUAUGUAAAGUUCCUUCGAAGAGUCGAGUUGUUUGGGAAUGCAGCUCUAAGUGGGUGGUAAAUUCCAUCUAAAGCUAAAUAUUGGCGAGAGACCGAUAGCGAACAAGUACAGUGAUGGAAAGAUGAAAAGAACUUUGAAAAGAGAGUGAAAAAGUACGUGAAAUUGUUGAAAGGGAAGGGCUUGAGAUCAGACUUGGUAUUUUGUAUGUUACUUCUUCGGGGGUGGCCUCUACAGUUUAUCGGGCCAGCAUCAGUUUGGGCGGUAGGAGAAUUGCGUUGGAAUGUGGCACGGCUUCGGUUGUGUGUUAUAGCCUUCGUCGAUACUGCCAGCCUAGACUGAGGACUGCGGUUAUACCUAGGAUGUUGGCAUAAUGAUCUUAAGUCGCCCGUCUUGAACCACGGACACAAAUAGUACCCUUUACUGGGUCGGA
rnacentral:rRNA from 1 species